rnacentral:rRNA from 1 species
UACGUAGGGUCCGAGCGUUGUCCGGAAUUAUUGGGCGUAAAGAGCUCGUAGGCGGUUUGUCGCGUCUGCUGUGAAAUCCCGAGGCUCAACCUCGGGUCUGCAGUGGGUACGGGCAGACUGGAGUGCGGUAGGGGAGAAUGGAAUUCCUGGUGUAGCGGUGGAAUGCGCAGAUAUCAGGAGGAACACCGAUGGCGAAGGCAGUUCUCUGGGCCGUAACUGACGCUGAGGUGCGAGAGCGUGGGGAGCGAACCGG